rnacentral:rRNA from 1 species
GAUGAACGCUAGCGGGAGGCCUAACACAUGCAAGCCGAGCGGUAGAGUCUCUUCGGAGCCUUGAGAGCGGCGCACGGGUGCGGAACACGUGUGCAACCUGCCUUUAUCUGGGGGAUAGCCUUUCGAAGGGAAGAUUAAUACCCCAUAAUAUACUGGAUGGCAUCAUCUGGUAUUGAAAACUCCGGUGGAUAGAGAUGGGCACGCGCAAGAUUAGAUAGUUGGUGAGGUAACGGCUCACCAAGUCAGCGAUCUUUAGGGGGCCUGAGAGGGUGAUCCCCCACACUGGUACUGAGACACGGACCAGACUCCUACGGGAGGCAGCAGUGAGGAAUAGUGGACAAUGGGUGAGAGCCUGAUCCAGCCAUCCCGCGUGAAGGACGACGGCCCUAUGGGUUGUAAACUUCUUUUGUAUAGGGAUAAACCUAGAUACGUGUAUCUAGCUGAAGGUACUAGACGAAUAAGCACCGGCUAACUCCGUG